UACCAAUUUGGUGAAUCUCGCAUGAUGUAUGAGAUUGAAUCCAUGAUUGACAUAGAACAGCCAGAACAUCAUGCUAAUGACCCUGAAUCCGAGCCUGUUAUGCUUGAUGCAAUCCCCACUUUGAAGUUCAACCAAGAGGCCUUCAGUGCCAUUGAAGAUACACAGUUAAAGAUCUUCUUCAAUUCCA